rnacentral:rRNA from 1 species
ACCUGACAGCCCAAUACAUCCGCUGUCCGCCUGGGAACUACGAGCGUAAGCUUAAAACCCAAAGGACUUGACGGUGCUUUAUAUCCACCUAGAGGAGCCUGUCCUGGAACCGAUAAUCCCCGUUAAACCUCACCUUUUCUUGCUUAUUCCGCCUAUAUACCGCCGUCUCCAGCCUACCCUGUAAAGGAUCAAUAGUAAGCAAAAUUGGCACAGCCCUGAACGACAGGUCGAGGUGUAGCGUAUGAAAAGGGAAGAGAUGGGCUACAUUCAGUGAAACACUGAAUACGGAGAAUUAAUUGAAACAUUAAUUUGAAGGAGGAUUUAGUAGUAAGCGGGG